UUGUGACAGAGAAAUCAGACGUUUACUCAUUUGGGGUUGUUUUGCUUGAAGUACUUUGUGGUAGAAAAGUAUUAAAGUUUGAUGCAGGGGACCAUAAUCAUCGUCAUAUAAUUUCUUGGGUCAAUGAACACCUAAAGAAUGGAAGAAUUUACCAAAUGACGGAUCCAUAUUUGGAAGGGAAAAUAGCCCCGAGUUGCUUACAGAAAUUCCUGGACAUCGCUUUAAGUUGCGUCCAUGUUGAGGAACAUAAACGACCUGCUCUUGGUGAAGUGGAGGUGACAUUAGAGCUUGCUUUGGAGCUCCAAAACAAAGCAGAAUUCGAAGUGAAGCGCCUCAAUCCUCAUGGAGAAGCUAUGUAUGAAGAAGUAGCUUUCUCUGCAUCUGCCUUCAGUUUCUCUGAUUAUCAGACUGAUGUACUCUGGCCCCAUGGAAGUUCUCGUGUCGAGGAUACAUUUAGCUGGAAAUCUGAGGAUAUGUUGUCAGACAUUGAAGAGCUGUGCAGAUGACAGUGAAGAUAUGCAAUCUGGGAUGGAUGUUUGGCGGGGUCAAACUAAUCAGGUAUGGUUAAGCAGUUGAGGUGUCUCUUAACUUACUUUCCUGACUACUGUCCAUUGAAGGCCACAAUUUUCACACGGUUUUGAGAAAUAUUUGCGUCAUUUUGGAAUAUGUUGAUUAUAUUUCCCAUUUCGAUUACGAUAUUAACAUCAUUGUAUUUCCCAUUUCGAUUACGAUAUUAACAUCAUUCAUUCACUUUUAAAACCUUUGAAUGUAAAUCGUGUUACUUUAAGAAAAAUGUAUUUUUACUACUGAAAAUAUAAAAAAUCUCGCUAUUAUUUUUGUACAGCCCAAUUUUGUCCACUACCCAAACAUAAAACCCAAUUACAACCUAAACCCAAGACCCAACAAAUUAAACCAAGCCCAAAACCCGAAUGGCCCACUAACCUAACCCUAGCCCAAAAUCCCAAACCACAACACAAAAAAACAAAAAAAAAAAUUCAAACCCUAGGUGCGGCGCACCUAGGGUCUUCUAGCCCGGCUCCGCCUCCAUCAGCGCAAGUGGCACACGCCACUGCCACCGCCGCAGCCCACUUGCUCCAUCACCAUCGCCACUUGCCUGCAAAAUCAGAGAAAGAAAUGACAAGUAAAAAAUAUGUAAAAAAUGACUAUAUAAAAGCCAUUCGAAAAUGCAAAAAAGGGAGGGGGCGAAUUUCACUAUUGUAUUUUAGGGUUUUUUUUUAAAAGAAAACAGAUUCAAUAAAAAUAAAAGAAACCAAGAGGUGAUUUUCGUUUUUUUCUACUCUUGAGUUCUUUUUCUUUUUCAUUUACUUACUUUUAUUUUUAUUUUUAUUUUUACUUUAUUUUUUGAGUUUUCUUUUAAUUUCAUUUUUCGAAAUUUCUAUAUAAACUAACAUUUGUUUUCUUAUUUUCUUUUAAAAAAAAGUCUACAAAUACAUAUACAAAAAAAAAAGAAGAAAUCUAACCUUUUGAAUUUUCCGGCAACCGUGUACGGUGGCCGGCGCGGCGGCGACUCUGUGGACCUUUCGCCAGAUUUUGGGCCUGUGCUCGGAGAAGGGAGAGAGAGAGGAGAGGUUUUCUGAAAAUUUUUUUGUUUAAAGAAGGGAAAAAUGAUUUUUUUUGCAAAUUUUUAAACUUAUAUAGGAUAUUAAAACGGCGCCGUUUUGGAGGAGUUCAGAAAGCCUCAAAACGACGUCGUUUUAACAUGGAUCGGACCGACCCGACCCGAACCGCCAAUGAUCCGCGUGUUUCUGGAUAAAAGGGGUUAUUUGCGCUGCUGGUCCUUCCGCUUUUGAGGCUGUUUACGAUUGGGUCCUAUUUUGUUUUUAUUUUUCAAUUUUGCCACAAAAUUUCAUUUUUCUCUUGAUUUGGUCCUCAAUGAAGUUGUGCGUUUUAGAGGAGAAGGGAAAGUUUCCCUUCCAGUCCCUCUAUGUUAUUCGCGCAUUCAAAUCAAUCCCUCCCUUUUUAUUUAUUUCGAAUCCGCCCCAAAUUUUUGUCUUUUAGUUCGAUUUAGCCCUUUAAACUUGCUAUUUAUUUUUAAUUAAUUAAUAAUAAUAAUAAUAAUAUUAUUAUUACUAUUGAUAUUAUUUAUAUAUUUCUAUUUAUAUUUAUGUAACAAGUUUAAAGAUAUUUUGGUUUUCCCAUAUAUUUUUAUUUAUUUACUUAUAUUUUUUUUGGUUUUUAAAUUUUAGAUUAAUUCAUUAUUUUGUUAAUAAUAUUAUUAUUUACUUAUAAUUAUUGUUUAUUUUAGCUACAAACUUUGAUGUAUAUAUACGUACAUUUUUUUAUUUUUUAUAAAUAUAUAUAUUUUUAUGCCUCUCAUUUUUACGUACAUAUACAUAUGUAUAUAUGCCCAUAUAGUUUAAUUCACAUGCAAACAUAUAUGUAUAUAUAUACUUAUUUUUUAACUUAUAUACAUGUCUGUACAUAUCUAUGCACAUAUUUUUAACUUUCAUAAAUAUAUGUGCAUGCUUGUAUAGAUACACAUAUCUUAUAAUUUUUAUAUAUAUAGAUAUAUAGAUUUUUACCUUUACAAUUUUAUUUUUGUGUUGUUAUUAUUGCUUUAUCUUAUAUUUAUUUAUGUGUUCAUCAUUAUUUUUAUGAAAUGUUAGCCCUAGUUGUCUAUUAUUUCAUGUAUAAUUGUUUUGACAUCUUUUAUUUAUUUAUUUAUCAUUUUGUUGUGGUUAUUCGUGUUAUGUUUACAUCGUCGUAUUUAUUAUUUUGAUACCCAUAUUAACAUUGUGUUUUACGAUUUUUUUGAAUAAGCGAAAUCUCGUGUUUAGAUUCGAGAAGGUCGUACCCUAACUUACUGGGUUUCGAUUUUCAUAAUAAAUCUAAAUACACGAAUCUUUUCAAACUCAAGUUUUUAAACGAUCACGGGAAUUAAUAAAAGAUCUCGGGAAUUAAUAAAAGAUCGUGUCUUAACUUACUGGGCAUGAUCCCUUUUCUAAACCCGAGAUAAUUAAAUGUCUUUUUAAAUAAGUAAACUUUGUGGCAUGUAUUCUCGUAUCGGGAAUUCGAUACGUUGUGUCCUAAUGCAUUGGAUAUGACAUGUCGAUUUCUCGAGAUGAAGAUUUUUCUAAAAAAUAAUAGAGAGAGUAUUUGGCAUUUGGAAAUAUGAGAAAACGUGCCCUAAUGUGCUGGGUUUCGAUUUUUCUCGUUCAACCAAAUAGCUAAAUAUCCUUUUUAAAAAAAUUCAAAAUAAGGCAAUGUUUUGCGUUUGGAAAUUCGAGAAAACGUGCCCUAAUGUGCUGGGUUUCGAUUUAAAAAAAUUUCAAAAUAAGGCAAUGUUUUGCGUUUGGAAAUUCGAGGAACGUGCCCUAAUGUGCUGGGUUUCGAUUUCUCGUUUAACCAAGUUGCCAAAUAUCCUCUUGAAUUUUAAUCCAUGCCAUUCGAGUUUUUUUAAGGAUCAUAUUUUAAAUUUCUUUAAAGUUUUCAGUUUUUUGACACUAAGACAUUAAGUAAUCAACUAGGUACCAAUUUUGGGCGUAUCGAGGGUGCUAAUCCUUCCUCGUGCGUAACCGACUCCCGAACCUAUUUUUCUGAAUUUCGUGGACCAAACUUGUUGUUUUAAUAAAACUAAAUCGUUUAUUAAAAACAACCACUUUUCAAGGUGACCCAAUCACACCUCAUUAAAAAGGAUCGAUGGCGACUCCCAUUUUCGUUUUCAUUUUUCAAAACCCAGGUCGACCCCAUUUUCAAACAAAAAAAUGGUGUCAACAAUUUUUAUUGACAUGAUUAAAGCAUUUUAUGUGUCUGUUUUAUUAUUUAUAAAGAUAAUUUAUGAAAUUUGACACUUAAAAAUUACAAACACUUAAUCCAGUUGCCAUAGUAUUUUUGCUUGGAUUGUAAUAUGCAGAAUAAGAACAUUUAGACAACUUUUUGGAGCUCCAUUUUCAUAAACUUGAUUGAUAAGUGAUAAAAGUAAUAUAUUUUAAUCCUAUCUUUAAUGCAUUUUUGGAUGAUUAUUUAUGUAAAUUGGUGAGUUUUAUACUCCUAAUCCUUUAAAUUCAUGUUUCUAUAAUUAGGAGAGUAUUUGAGAGUAAAAGAGCAAAAAUUGGACAAAUAGACCAGAUUUCCGGAGCCACACGGGUUGGACACAUGGCCGUAUGAGCCAUACGAGCUGGCACACAGCCAUGUGUCAGGCUGUGUCAAUUUCGAAACUCGCAUUUCAAACACGGUAAAAGACACAAUUUUUAGGCUUUUCGGGCAUUCUAAAGCCUAUAAAUACUAAAUAGAAGAAGAGAAUAAGGGACGAUUAGAGAGUAUUGAAGAAAACAACUCGAAGAACACCAUUGAAGCCAACUCUGAAGCAAAUUUCCAUCAAGAUUGAAGACCUCCGUUUAAUUUAUUUGAAGUUUUUAUGAGUUUCUUUAUUUCUUGUGAUUAUACUGACUUUGACUGUUUUUAUUUACAAUUAUGAACUAAUUCUCUAGAUCCCUAGGGAAAUGAACCCUAUAACGAAUUUUAUUAUAUGAUUUCUAUUUUACGUGAUAAAUAUUGGAUUCUUGUUCUUAGUUAUGUGUGCUUAUCUCUUGUUUUAAUAUUUCUUGAAUAUUAAUGCAUGUUUAAUGUGCUCAAAUCAAAGGAGGAAAAUCCCCUGUUUAAGAGUAGAUAUAACAUAAUUGAGUGGAGUUGCAUGCAAUCUUAGAAAUAGGAUGACAUAAAUCCAUCGGAUUAGAGUCAAAUCUAAUAGGGGAAUCCAUAGAUAGAGUUAAUGUGAUAAUAUGUGUUUUAAUUAGAAAGAAAUUUCAAUUAAUCAACCUAGUUUCAGUUGCUCUUACUCUCGAAAAAGAUAUUAGCAUAAUUUAGGGAUUUCUACGGAUCAAGAUACCAACUGAAUAAAUCGUUUAAUUCAGAUUCAUAAUGAUAGAUGAAGACUAGGUGGAUUUUUUCCUGGGUAUUGUUUAGCUUCUUGGUUAUUAUUCAAUUAUUUUCCUGAUUUAUUCUCUGCUGAGUUCUUUAGUUAAUUAAUUUAGUAGAUUUUAGCUUAAAACAAUCACUCCAAUUUGUCGGUUAAAUAAUAAGAAAAUAAUAAUUACUAGUACUUUUAGUUCCCGUGGAUACGAUACCUUUACUCAUCGUAGUUAUACUAUUUAUUGAUAGGUGCACUUGCCUUUAUUAUAUUUUUAGUUAAUUUCGUGAUACAUCAUCGAUUCGUGUUUGAAUGAAAUUGGACAAAACAUUUAAGAAAUGUAAUUCAGCUUUUGUUGCAGUUUUUCCAUUGUUAUGGCCCACCAUUGCAUUUCUAUUUGUUAUAUUGUCGCCUAUGGUUUUAAAUAUAAGUGGUUCUACCAUUAACAAAGACGGAAGAUCAUUGCGUGUUGAGGUACAAUCUGUUAACUCUUUAAUUUUGUUUAAAAUUAAUCACUCUCUUUUGAAAUAGUCUCAUUUCUUUGCAGUUGUGUAUAGCAGUGAGUUUAUUGACGUGUGAGAUAUUGGCCCGAUCACUACACCAAAAUAGGCUUUUAACGGCACUUUUAGCGGCGCUAGGACAAAAAAAUGCCGGUAAAAAUCAAGCAUUAGCGGCGCUUUAUAAAAAUUGCCACUAAAGAUCAAGCAUUAGAAAAACACCACAAAAAACCAAAGCCCAACAAUGUCGUUGUGUUACCUUUCGAGGCUUUAGCGGCGCUUUUGAAAAAGCGUCGCUAAUGCUCGGGCUUUAGCGGCAUUUUUGAAAAUGCGCCGCUAAUGCUCGGGGUUUUAGCGGCGUUUUUGAAAAAGCGCAGCUAAAAACAUUUUUAUCUUAAUUGGUUUAUUUAUAUUAAUUAAAUAAAAUUCAAUUUAUUUCUAAUUGAAUAUUCAAAAUCUUCAAAAAAAAAAUAAUGACACGUAGAAAUAAUUUGAAAAAAACACAUGGAAAAAUUAAAAUACUAUUAUUUAAAAUAAUUAAAGUUUUUUGGGUACAUGAUUACUGAUUGUUUUUUAAUUUAUAUAUAUUAAAAAAUUUCUUAUAUAAUCGUAAAAGAGAUAGUAUUAAUUUUAAAAUAUUGAAUUAAUUAUCACUAUAGUUUAGGGUGUUUGGUUUAGGGUAUAUGAUUAAUUUAAGAUUUAAGGUCGGUUUAGAAGUUCAUAUUUUAAGGUUUAGGGAGUAUGGAUUUAGGGAUUAUGAAUUAGGGAUUAUGGUUUAAGGGUUGGGAUUUAAGGUUUAGGGGUUAGGGGUUUAGGGGUUAGACAUUAGGGGUUAAGAGUUAGGGAUUUAGGAUUUAGAGAUUUAGAGGUCAGAUUAGGGUUUUGGGUUUAGAUUAAUUAUUUUUAAUUUAUAUUUUAAAUAUGUUCUUAUAUAAUUGUAAAAGAGAUAAUAAUAAAUUAAAUAUAUUGAAAUUAUGAGUAUAGUUUAAAUUAUUUAAGAGAUAUAUAAUAGAUAGACUUUAUAUGUAUUGAAUGGUUAAUUUAGGGUUUAAGGUUAAGGUUUACUUGAGAUUUGUUAAAUGAUAAAAUUUUAUACAAUUAAUUAAUGCUUUUAUAUUUAACAAAAUUUAAUCUAAACCAUUUGAUAUAUUUAAAUAUUAGUUUAAAUAGAAUUAAUAAAUAAGUUAAAAAAAUAGAUUGAUAUGAAUAUUUAGGUAUAAUUAUUUAUUUUGGAGAUGACCAAAUUAUAAGAAAUAAAAUUAAAAUACAAAAAUAAAAAUGAAAUAAAAAAACUAAAAUUUAUAAUUUUAUCCAACUCUUAUAAAUAUUAUUUAAAAAUUUUAGAAUUAUUUAUUUAAAAUUUAUAUGAAAGAUACAAUAAUUGAAUGUAAAAAAUAUGCGAGCUUUAGUGGCGUUUUCAGCAAAAAAACAUCUUUACUAUGUACUAAAAUUUUCCAAAACGGCCCCGUUUCAAUACAAGAAUUUAAUUUCUUAGUGGCGAUUUCAGAAAAAAACGCCACCAUAAGGUCAAAACACCGCAAAAAUUUUGUUCAUUUAGACAAAAUGGUGAAGUUUUGAGUUGCGAAUUUAAUGGAUUUAGUGGCGCUAAGAUAAAAACGCCUCUAAAGAUGAGCAUUAGAGGCGCUACUUGGGAAAUGCCGCAAAACUUCAUUUUAAUUUAAACAAAACUAUGUCGUUUUGUCUGUCGAAAAUAGCGGCACUAGCGGCGCUACGCUAAAAACGCUGCAAAAGGUGAGAAUUAGAGGCGCUAUUUUAAAAACGCUGCAAAGCUUCAUUGUAGUUUAUAGAUAACGGUGUCAUUUUGUCUGGCAAAAUUAGCGGCAUUAGCGGCGCUAUGCUAAAAACGCCGCAAAAGGCGAGAAUUAGAGGCGCUAUUUUAGAAACUCCGCAAAGCUUCAUUGUAGUUUAAACAAAACGGUGUCGUUUUGUCUGGAAAAAUUAGCGGCAUUAGCGGCGCUAGGCUAAAAACGCCGCGAAAUGUGAGAAUUAAAGGCGCUAUUUUAAAAUCGCAGCAAAGCUUCAUUGUAGUUUAAAUAAGACGCUUUCGUUUUGCUCUCCUGUAUUUCAUCCCAACCCAUACCCGAAAUAGCUUAUUAUUUCCCCUACAAUUUUCCCCAAAUCUUCCUCAAAUCAAGAACCCUAGUCUGCUGCAUCGCCCUCCACGACCCGAACCUUCCCCAAAUCUGUUGCAUUGUCGUAGACUGUCCCUUCUGCCGUCGCACUCCUUUACCGUUACACUCCUCUGCAUCAAUUCAACCGAUAAGGUUUUUCUCUUUUGCUAAAAAAUCAUCUUGCUGUGGGGCUUGAGCAAUAUACAUGUAAUUUGUUUAUAUUCUCCUGUACAUAAAUUGUUUUACACCUACUUCCGUGUGUUUUACACCUGCACAUAAAUUGUUUUACACCUUCAUUGAUAAGUCAAUGCGCAAAUUGUUGAUGGGUUUUAGAAAAUUUUUCACUAUUUAGUUGUAGGACAGAAAAGAUUAUGUAUUUCUUCUUAGAAUUUUAUCUAUGAUUGAAUUAUUUUGAAAGAAAUGUGGUUUCUUGCUGCUUGGAAGUUAGCGAAAAAAAAAAGGGAUUAUUUGGCUAAUAAAUGAUUUGAUUCUCCGACCUUGUUCUGUUUUUCCAAAGCUAACCGCUUUAAUCCAUCAACAAAUAAAAAUUAUUCUUGAGAAAAUAAAAACAAACAAAAAAUAAAUGGGAAAGCUAGGAUUGUGGGAUCUUGAGAAACAUUUUGCGUUUUAUGGGGCAUAUCACAGUAACCCAAUUAACAUUUUGAUACAUACUUUAUUUGUGUGGCCGAUAUUUAAUCAUGCUUUGGUUCUGAAUUAUGGAUCUGCUUUUUCUAUUUUCCUAUGCUUGUUUUAUGUAGUUUUGGAUAAGAAAGCUGGGUCUUUGGCCGCGUUGCUGUGCUUAGCUUGCUGGGUCGGAGCUAGUUCCACCGCUGCAAAACUUGGCUAUUCUCUUGCCUGGAAGGUAAAUUUUUGUUCUUUUGUUGUAAAGUAUCAGCCUUAGUUUGAUUGAAUGAUUGGAAUUUUCUGAAUGAAUUGUCAUUGUAGUGGAUUGAUUUCUUGGGUUUUGCAUGUUAGGUUCCGUGUUGGAAUCUUUGUACUUGUCGGAAACCUUCCAAUUUUGCAAAUAAAAAGUUUUUAGUUAAUCAUCUUUCUCUUCCAGCUACUGAUAUACCCGUUGCAUUUAGGCGCUUUUGACAUGUAUUUUGACAUGUAUUUUGCAAAUCAUAAUAGGAUUUAAGCAAAUGGACUUUGUUUAUUUAUUUAUGUAGAUAAUACUUUUAUGUUUUAUAUUUACUGUACAAGUUGGUAUCUCACAUUUUCUGAAUAAAUUUCUGCAAGUUGUAGCCAAUGCAAAUUGCUGUUUUAGCCAAUUGAACAAGUUGGUAUCUCACAUUUUCUAAAUUCAUUAGUGCAUAAUUUUCUGAACAAGUUCGUAUAUCACCCCAUAUAUGGUAUGGAUAUAUAACCUAUAUUUCAAUUUUAUUAAUAAUAAAUUUUAUAAUUUUAAAAAUAAUUGUAAAUUUUAUUUUUUAAAUAUUAAAACCUAUAUUUUUAAUAUAUCACCCCAUAUAUGGUAUGGAUAUAUAACCUAUAUUUCAAAUUUAUUAGUAAUAAAUUUUUCAAUUUUAUAAAUAAUUAUAAAUAAGAUACAUAAAAGUGAUAUACUUACAUAAUACAUAAAUUACAUAACCAAAAUUUGUAAUAUAUAACUUACAUAACUUAUUAAUAUUUAUAUACAUUUUUAAUAUAUAUAUUUAUAAAAUUUAUAUAUUUUUUCAAAAUUUAUCAAUCAUAUCAUAACUUAUAUAUAAACUUAAAUAUAAACUUGCAUAACUUACAUAAUAACAUAAUAACUUACAUAAUACAUAGCCUACAUAACUUACAUAACUUACAUAAUACACAACUUACAUAACUUAAAUAACUUACAUAAUACAUAAAUUUCAUAACUUACAUUAUACACAACUUACAUAACUUAAUUAAUAUUAUACACAACUUACAUAAUACAUUACUUACAUAGCUUACAUUAUACACAACUUACAUAACUUAAUUGCAUUAUACGCAACUUACAUAAUACAUAACUUACAUAACUUGCAUUAUACACAACUUACAUAACUUAAUUACAUUAUACACUACUUACAUAACUUACAUAGCUUACAUUCUACACAACUUACAUAACAUACAUAAUACAUAACUUACAUAAUACACAACUUACAUAGCUUACAUAAUACAUAACUUACAUAACUUAUAUAAUACAUAGCUUACAUAAUUUACUUAAUACAUAAAUAUAUAUCAUAUCAUAACUUACCUAACUCAUUUAUACUUAUAACUGAACAACUUACCCUUGUAAUUUAUUGUCAACAUCAGGCUUCAAGAAUUAAGAAAUGGACCGGUCUUGGAUGAAUUUGUCAAUGGUAAGUAACGGUUAUCGAAAUGGAGUACAAACUUUUCUAAAUUUUGCAUUUCAAUAUGCAAGCCAAGAGAACAUGAUUCUUUGCCCAUGUAAGAAGUGUGUCAACAUAAACUGGCAUUAUCGUGAAGUCGUAUAUGAGCAUCUAAUUGUUGAUGGGUUUGUUCAGGGUUAUAAAAAAUGGAUUUUUCAUGGAGAAUGCAUGCAUAGUACUUCCUUUUCAACGAUGGAUGUAUCUUAUCCUGGUACUACUUACCAUCAGUCUGUUAGUGGGGAUGACAUGGAAGGUAUGUUGCGGGAUGCAUUUAAUAUGCACAAUCAUGGUUUGCAGUCGUUCCCAGCAGACUUUGUGGCAUCUGAUGAUUGUAAUCUUGGUGGAAAUGCUUUUACCGAACCGGGAAGAAGUGUAUCUCAUGAAGAGCCGAAUAGAGAAGCGGCGAAGUUCUACGCGCUACUUAAUGACAUGAACGAAGAACUUUAUGAGGGAUCAAAAUGUUCAAAAAUGUCCUUCUGUAUUCAUCUUUUUCAGUUAAAAUGUUUGGGAGGGUGGAUCGGAAACUCUUUGACAAUGUUGUUAGAAUUUUUGAGAGAUAUGUUUCCCUUUGCAAAAAUCUCUCACUCAAAAUUGUGGAAUAGUUGUUAAUUCCUCAAUUACAAGUUAUGCUAGUGCUAGGGACAAUAAUUCUGUUGAGGGAAAUGUGGAAUAUUUCGGACUUCUUACUGACAUAGUUGAGUUGGAUUACUACGGGAAAUGGAAAGUUGUCUUAUUUUGAGGUGAUUGGGCUGAUGUUAAUACUGCUCGUGGAAUUAAGCAAGAUCAAUUUGGUUUUACAAUGGUGAACUUCUCUCGAUUGAUUCACACAUGACAAUGAUUGAUAGAUGAGCCGUAUGUAAUUUUGUUUUAAUUUAGUUUAUUUACAAAAUUGUCAUUUAUCACAUAAUUUUUAAUCAAUUUCAAUUAUGUUGCCGUCCCACUAUAUUUAACUAGGGUAUAUUUUAUACUUAAGUCCUUCCUCAUUUAACUUUCAAGCUAUUUAAUAAACUAAAUACAAUAAUUACUAAAUUUUACACCUUUUACAAAUUAGUCCUUUUCCUUUAAUUAGAUAUCUAAGCGUUAAUAUUUCUGAAAAAAAUUUUAAUACAACCCAAAUGACUCUAUAAAUAUUCUAAAAAUAAUAUUUAAGAGUCGAAACGAAGGAAAUUUGUGGUCCCGAACCAUUGUUCCUUCACCACUAAAAAUCAGGUUAUUACAACAUAGCUUUCGAAAGCCCAUACUAAGCUCGGAUAAGUGUCUGAAUCAUAUUUUAAUUUUAUUUAAACUUAAAAACUUGAAAAAAAAAUAUUAUUGAUUAGGAGUGAUCGUAGUUGCUUUGGCAACGAAUAUGACGUCUCGAUAGCUUGACCCAACGAUCGGAUCAGGUAAAGGAGUGUUACAGAUAAUUAUUUAAAUAUUAUUACAAUCAAAUAAUAGUAAAACUACCGAAUAUCAAAUAAUAAUAACUAAACAUCUUAAAUAAUAAUGAAAAACAUUACUUUUUUUUAUGAUGGAAACAAAACAUAUUAAAUAAUACAAUUAUAUAUUUUUUUAUUUUGAAUGAAAAUGCCUUGAUAAUGCAUAUAUUAUACUGUAAAAUAUUAGUUUUAAUUGGUGUAUAAUUGUAACACUAAUUAAGUGAUAAUUAAUCUCAAAUAAUAAGUGUAAUUUAAUACGGAUCCAAAGUCCACUUAAGUAAUAAUAACUAUUACAUUGAAAAUAUUAUUAAUAAUUAAAUAAUUAAAUUUAUACAUUACAUUAGAUUACCAAUAUAUUGAUGUUAUCUUUUUAUAUAUAUAUAAUAUUAAUCUCACACGUUUAUUUUUUUAAUUUUAACAUUAUUAAUUAUUAUCUUAUUUAAAAUAAGAUCAUAUUUAUAUAUAAGAAUUAUAUUCAUUUAAUUAAAAAUAUUAUAUUUUUAUUAUUUUUAAUUUAUCCAAUUAUAUUUAUAUUCAAUGAUUUUAUAAAUUUAUAAUUUUAUUAAUCAAUAGAAUAUUAUAUUAUUUUGAAGUAUAAAUUUUAAAUGAAAUAAACAACUUAAUUAAUUUCACACUAAUAUACUAUCAUAUUAGUUAAUAUUUAAUUAAUAUUAUUUUUACUAUUAUCACAUAAUAAUACUAAUAAAUUAUUAUUCUAAUGUCAAUUUAGUAAUAUAAUUAACAAUAAAAGAUUUUUUUAUUGAUUCAAAAGUUUCUCCAAACUUGUGGGUUUUUUUUAUUUAUACAUUAUAGAUAAAGUAUUUAGAGUAACCAUGACAUUAUAAAAGUAAAGAUACAAAAUUAAGUAAAAAACUAAAGCUUGAGCAUAAUAUAGAAACCGAAAUUAAAAUUUGACCAUUAUUAAAUAAUAUAAAUAGAAGUAAAAAAGAUUAUGUAUUCGGACAAUAUUUUAAUCAGAAUGAGGUAUUUAAAAUUGAGGUACCAAAUAAUAUAAAAAAUUAAAAUAUGAAGAUAUUAUAGGGACUAAAUUUUGGAUCAUUUUUAUUGGAAGCUUAUUUUUUAUUUGGACAAGUGUCAAUAAAAGAAAUUGGUUAGACAGAGUUAUAGAUUCGGCUAAUUUACCAUUAAAAGCCUAAUUUUUUUAAAUUUAUCGAAAUGGGCCCGGUAUUUUAUUAUUUACCAGAACGGGCCCUUUUCUCCCAAACCGCGUCCACGUCAGCGCGAAGUCAGGGAACGUGUCAGCAAAUCGCGUCCACAUUAGCGCGCUCUGCUGACGUGGCAACAAAUCGCGUCCACAUAAGCGCGAUUUGUGUCCACGUCAGCAAAGCGCACUGACGUGGACGCAAUUUGUUGCCACGUCAGCAGACCCCCUAGGGACGCGAUUUCCCCGUGUGUGAACAGUGCAACGAUCAUUUUUUUGACCGUUGCCCCCUAGAGGUGCUCAUGGGCUGGGCGGCCUAACCCUACGGCUCGCCCGAAAUAUGGGAGGGUUCGGUUAAAAUAUAGGCUCGAAAUAUGGGUUUGAGCAAAAAAAUGAGGCCCGUCGGGCAGCACUUUUUUGGCCUGGGCCCGAGCCCGGCCCGGCCUGAAUAUAAUAAAUAUUUUUAUUUUUUUAUUUUUUAUUUUUAAAAUAUUUUUAAAUAUUUUUUUUAUUUUUUUAAAUUUUUUUGUGUUUAUUUAAAAAAUGGGUCGGGUCGAGCCAGGCUCGGACUUAUGAAUUUUUUCUUGGGCCGAGCCUGGACAAAAUUUCAGGCCCAUAUUUCACGGCCCAAAAAUUUUUUCUGGGCUCGGCCCAAACUCGACCCAUGAGCACCUCUAUUGCCCCCCAACGGUAAAAAAAAAAUCUAUAAAUACCACCACCCUUUAUUUUUUCUCACAAACUAAUCCUCUCUCAAAUUUCCUCUCAAUUUCCUCUCAAUUUGCUCUCAAAUCCAUAUUUAAUCUCAAUUUGCUCUCAAUUUUCUCUUAAAUUUCUCUUAAAUCCCUAUUUUUAAAUAAUUUUAAAAAUUAUUUUUUAAAAAUUUUUUAAAUCGUAAAAAUUUGUCUUUAUUAUUAAAUCAAUGGCCGGAGAAUUGACUGUCUUGAUAAUCAACUCAUAUCCGUCAAACAAAUGAAAAUAGUAAGUGCUAAAUUUAAUUUUUAAAACAGGGAAAACGCGUCCCCAGAGGCGUGCUACGUGGCAGUAAAUCGCGUCCACGUCAGCGCGCUUUGCUGACAUGGCAACAAAUCGCGUCCACGUCCCCUGACAUCGCACUGACGUGGACGCGAUUAGGGAAAAAGGGCCCAUUCCGGUAAAUAAUAAAAUACCGGGCCCAUUUCGAUAAAAUUUAAAAAAAAAGUAGCCUUUUUUGAUAUUUUGCCCUAUAGAUUCUUCUUUCUUUCUUUUUUUUUCCUAUAAAAAAAUAUGUGUGUCCUGCGUAUAACAAUGAAAUUUUUUAGAAUUUUUUGCAAUUUGGUGAGGUGAGGGGUCUUUUAUAUGUGGCAGUUGUUUAAAAAGGAGAGCGUUUAGCAAAUCAAUUCUAUCAUUAGGAGGGAUUGGGGGGAAAACCAAAUUCUGUUUUGAUUAGGAAAAUGUUUUAGUGGAAUAUCUGUCGUAUUCUCAUAGCAUUGAAUUAGGAAGCUGAUAGACUAAUCAAAUCAGCUCAUCUGUCACCAAAAAAAUAUAUUAAAAAAUAGUUAUUUUUUUAACUCCACAAGUUAAGUUAAAAAACUGCAAAGUGUAUUAUUUUUUGGGCUAGUAAUUGAUACACUAAUGAUAUACUUUUUAUUUAUUUCACAAACAAUAUUAAAAAAUUGGCAUGUGUUUUUUUUUAAAUAUUUAUUAUUUUUAAUUAUUUUACUAUACUCUUAUAGAAUACUUAUUAACCUCUGAUGGGCGUCGAAACCACCAAAUAUAAAUUCCUAUGACAAAAUAAUAGUAAUUAGCAGUAUAGAGCAGUAGGGUCGAAUCCAUAGGGACUGACUAUCUAAUUUUGCCUUUUUCCAUGACCAGAAUCGAUAUCGCGGUCACAGUAAUGCCCACGACCUAUGUGUAGAAAUGCUGAAAAUAAAUAAAUGGGGGGUUUAAAUUGGUUAAGAUAACUAAAGAAGAAAAUACAAAAAAUAAAAUAAAACAAAUUCAAAAAUAUUUAAGAAAAUAAAAUAUUUUUUAAGCUUAACCGUAGCCUUGGUGUACUCCAAACUUAAAUCGAUCCUUGAAAUAGAUUUUUCCUUCCAAGCAAUAAGCUGGUUAUAGAGACCAAGAACGUUCCGGUCGCCAUCUUUUCCUUAAAUAGUCAAUCUCGGUACGACCUACAAACAGACUCUUGCCAAAUUUCUAGUUGUGAUACACGUGUUUGCAAUUUAAGAAUUUGACAACCUUGUGCUCUGAAAAACCCAACUCGAAUCAAUGGCCUCAAUUAGGUGGGUCGUUAAAUCCGAUCUCUAUCUCCCUUGACGGAAUCCAACUGGCUUUUCCCACCUAGAGACGUCAAUUUUUUCGUGGGAAUUCGAACACAGCACGACCGAUUCGUUUUCCCAAUUGUACGCCAAACAACUCCAACCCAAAUGUGCACUUUUUGAAUCAAAGCUGAAUCAAUUUUAAGGGACGAAUUUGUACUAUCUAUAUACUGGAGAGAUAGAAAAUACUGCGUUGAGAGGUUUUUUGAGCGAGCUCAUAUCUCACGAUUGUUUUAUUGGCAUAAUUUCUGGGCUAAAGCUAAAAAGGAUUUAGUUAAUCAUAAAAAGAAUCAUAAUAAAUGGUUUAAAUAGAAUUAUGGAAAGUGGAACGAGAAAGGGCCUUAGAAGGUAAUUAAACCAAAAAGGUUAGAAAUAAAAAAAAUGAAUGAAACAACAUGGGAAUUGAGGCUGGAAAGGAAAGGAAAAAAGAAAAGAAUUUAUUAAAGCCAAAGCCAAAUCCAAAGCUAAAGUGUGUUCAAUUAGUUGUAGUCAUUAGGUAUUUAUACACACUUUUAGUCCUAAAAUUUAGUUAGAUUUUUCCUAAAUAUUAUCACCAAAUAAUCUUAAAUAUUAUCACUAAAUAAUUUAAAAUUUAAAAAUCAAAUUUAAACUAGAAUUUAAACUAAUUACAGAGUUGUAACAAUAUAAAAAAUCCUUCAAUUUUUAUCCAGCUACUUUUUAAAAAAAAUCUUCAACCCUUCAAUCUUUAUCCAAUCAUCUUUGAAUCUUCAAUCUUUCAGUCAAGCCCUUCUCUUUGCUUUUUGUUCUAAUUUAGCCCUUUUUCUUUAAGAGUUUGAAUUCAUCACACCAACUUUAUUGCUGAUAAAAAAAUUCAAAUUUAAUAGCAUUUUAUUUGAUAACUAGUCAAAAAUAAAUAUAUUAAAAAUACGAAUUUAUCUUGCUAUGAACCUCUAAUCUUACUUAUAUAUUUUAAAAACUCAUAUAAAAUAUUAUUUCUUUAUUUAAUAUCUAAAUAUAUGAAGAUGAAGUUAUAUAUACUAAAAAGGUAACGGGCAUAGCCUCGAGUCUUGAAUACGGGUAGCAAAACUCGAUUCGAUUUGAAAAAAUAAAAAUAAAAUAAAAUUUCGAGUUAAUCAAAUCGAGUUAUUUGAAUUAUUCAAGUUAUUUGAGUCAACUCGAAUAAGUAAUUUGAGUUUCGAGUUCAAGCAGAGUUGAACUUUACAAUUCAAAUAACUCGAAUAAUUCAAAUAACAUAUUGCUGUAAAUACCUCUUUGAUCUCUGUCAAUUUUGAAAAUGAACAAAUUGGUCUCUCUCAACAAAAAAUAAAAAAUAAUCCAAAAUAAUUUUUAAAAUUCAAAAUAUUUAUAAAAAUUCCAAAAUUUAUAUUUUUUAAAAAAAUUCUAAAAUUUUAAAAUAAAUUCUAAAAAAAUAUAAAGAAAAUUAAAAAUUUAAAAAAUCUUUAAAAUAAUAAUUUUGGAGACUUAAAUAAAUAAAUUAAUGAUUUAACUUUAUAUUUUUAUUUCACAUAUUUAAUUUUUUAAGUUAACUCGAAUAAUUUAACUCUAUUCGAAUUUAAUUUCACUCAAUUAAAAGAAAUUUAAAUCGAAUUAGAAUAAUAAAAUAAAACUCAUCAAAUUUAUUAAUUAAAAACUCUUUCACUUGAUUGGAUCUAUGACUCACCACCUAGUCUUCGGUCUUCUGUGGAUCCCCGUGAGAAGCAUCGAGGAUAGUACACUGCUUGAACUUGAAAAUAUUAUGAGCUAUUCGAUGUUCCAACUAAAAAAAUAAAUAGAUGAAUUUGAAGCUAACCACUCUCCAACUCCAAAGGUUGGCUUUGGAAUAAGAUUUAAACUCACUUCUCACUUCUUCAUCUCUUGAUUUCUAAUGAGAACUCCUUCACUUUCCAGCUUUUGUUUCUGUCCAGUAUUUGUAAGCAAAUUAAAGAAGCCGAGCAAGGGAAAAGCUAAAUCAUCGCUUCCCCAACAUCUGUACCGUCGAUUUUCACUCCACGAGAUCAGAGUUGCCACCAAAAACUUUGACUCCCACUUGGUUCUUGGUAAAGGUAGCAGCGCAGUAGUAUACAAAGGGUUUUUCGAUGAUGGGGCUUCGGUUUUCGCUGUCAAAUACUUGCAGCACGGAUCCUCACGACAGACAAUGCUUGAAGACUUUCUAAAUGAGGCGCAGCUACUUUGCCAGCUGCGCCACCAACAUAUUGUUUCUCUGAUUGGAUUCUGCGAUGAGGGAGACAAGAUUAUCAUAGUGUACAAUUAUAUGAGCCAGGGGACGCUCUUCGAUCAUCUCCAUGGUACUGGUCAUCACGAUCCCCUCCCAUGGAAGCAAAGGUUAGAGAUUUGCAUUGGGGUCGCUUGUGGAUUACAUUAUCUUCAUACUGGAGCAAAGCGUGCAGUCAUCCACCGUGACAUCAAGACCAAAAACAUUCUUUUAGAUGACCAAAUGGUUUCCAAGAUUGCGGAUUUCGCCUGGUCUAAAAUUGGCCCUUUUAGUUUAUCAAACGCUCCCAUCAGAAUAGAGUUACCCCCUCUGGAUGAAAUUGAUUUGGAAACAGGUCAAUUGGGGCUGCUUGGUACUUUGGGUUAUAUGGCUCCUGAGCUUUUCAAGGAUACUACUCUUGUGACAGAGAAAUCAGACGUUUACUCAUUUGGGGUUGUUUUGCUUGAAGUACUUUGUGGUAGAAAAGUAUUAAAGUUUGAUGCAGGGGACCAUAAUCAUCGUCAUAUAAUUUCUUGGGUCAAUGAACACCUAAAGAAUGGAAGAAUUUACCAAAUGACGGGUCCAUAUUUGGAAGGGAAAAUAGCCCCGAGUUGCUUACAGAAAUUCCUGGACAUCGCUUUAAGUUGCGUCCAUGUUGAGGAACAUAAACGACCUGCUCUUGGUGAAGUGGAGG
rnacentral:lncRNA from 1 species